CGAUAGCUUGUAUCAAGAAGAUUUCCAUCAUAUCUUCCUUUACAAAGCCUGACAUUAUCGUUAAAAAAAAUAGUCCGUUUGGGAGGAAAAUCCUCCUCAUCCCGACCUACGGAACAAUGUAGCCCACAGCUGAGGACGCCCCCGACUUUUUUCAAGGCAAGCGCCGACCGGAUGCCUGCAAAAAGAAAAAAGCUCCUCCAAUCCUAUUCGGCAGGCUGUGAUGAUCAUCAGCAACCGCGAGGCUACCAGUGCCUCCACUGAGUCUGAGACCUAAUCCUCAAGAAACUGCAAAGCUCCCGUGAGUCAGAAUUUGCAUCCUGAAUUAUGAAGUGAGACAACUUCUACUGGACAUACAGCUGCUUGUGGAAUUCGUAGCUGGACAGUACGUAUUGUAAAAUAAAAUAAAAAAGACAACUCAAAUGUGAAUGAAGGAAAAAGAGACAGUUCAAGAAUGGAAAAGCUUUUGAAGCCAGACAGACUGAUGGGGGG